rnacentral:rRNA from 1 species
CACCGCGGUUAUACGAGUAACCCCUGUUGAUAACAAACGGCGUAAAGGGUGGUUAGGAGUGUCAUUAAAGUAAAGCCGAACUUUUCCCGGACCGUUAAAAGUAUCCGGAAUUUGAAGCCCAUUUACGAAGGUAGCUUUAUAACUCUGACUCCACGAAGGCUAACGAAA